UCAUGUCAGUUUUCAUUUAAAUGGACAGUUGUUGCAUACAGGUGUUCUAACUCACAACACAUAAAAUGUUACCAAUUGUUGAUUGGUUUACUUGUAGAUUCCUUUUACAGUCCUUUGUUGUGCUGAGUGACAUACACACUGUAUAAAUCUUGAAUAAUAAAGCAAUUAAUGUUAUUGUUUGUGUUGAUUUCUAAAACAAAACAAAAAACCUAAACCAAUAGAAAAGAAGUUACCCCCCCCAAAAAAAAAUAUUUUAUAUAUAUA